GAUUAACGCUGGCGGCGUGCAUAACACAUGCAAGUCGAACGAUGAAACUUUUUUGAUUUCUUCGGAAUGAAAAAAAGUGGAUUAGUGGCGGACGGGUGAGUAACGCGUGAGUAACCUGCCUUAGAGAAGGGGAUAGCCUUUGGAAACGAAGAAUAAUACCCUAUGAAACCAUAACCUCGCAUGAGGCCUUGGUCAAAGAUUUAUCGCUCUAAGAUGGACUUGCGUCUGAUUAGUUAGUUGGUGGGGUAACGGCCCACCAAGACAGCGAUCAGUAGCCGGCUUGAGAGAGUGUACGGCCACAUUGGGACUGAGACACGGCCCAGACUCCUACGGGAGGCAGCAGUGGGGAAUUUUGCACAAUGGGGGGAACCCUGAUGCAGCGACGCCGCGUGAUUUAGAAGGCCUUCGGGUUGUAAAAAUCUUUUCUAUGGGUAGAAAAUGACAGUACCAUAGGAAUAAGGACCGGCUAAUUACGUGCCAGCAGCCGCGGUAAUACGUAAGGUCCGAGCGUUGUCCGGAAUCAUUGGGCGUAAAGGGUACGUAGGCGGGUAAGCAAGUUAGAAGUGAAAUCCUAUAGCUCAACUAUAGUAAGCUUUUAAAACUGCUCAUCUUGAGGUAUGGAAGGGAAAGUGGAAUUCCUAGUGUAGCGGUGAAAUGCGCAGAUAUUAGGAGGAAUACCGGUGGCGAAGGCGACUUUCUGGCCAUAACCUGACGCUGAGGUACGAAAGGCGUGGGUAGCAACAGG
rnacentral:rRNA from 1 species